ensembl:lncRNA
CCCCCUGGCUACUGCCCUGGUCCCACGUGUCAGGCGCCCAAGUGUGCUCAGGGCCUGGAUACACGUUCCUGGAACCUCAGGGGCGCUGUUUACCUGCUGGGGCGGGGCCCUGGCAAGAGGCGGGGCCCUGGCAAGGGGGCGGGGCCGUCUGGUGGGUGGGGCGUGGGCGGGGCUUCGUGCCGUGGAAUCAUCCUCCCUCCCUCGACCCCUGCGACUGCACUUGGCUACUGGGAGGCGGGUUCACUUCACCAAAGGGACCCCUGCCUUCCGGCGCUCCUGCCCUCUGUGGCUUGUCCCUUCCACGGAUGCACGCGAGUUUAGUGGGACGGGGGAUCUUUAUACAGUUUGAGCGGUGGUCUUUCGGGAAAACAGUGCACCAGUGCAAAAAAAUUAGGCGCAAGGCUUCGGAGGGACGCCUGCGAGCCAGCAUCCCUGCGGUCCAGGCUCCAUUGGCUUUUAGGGCUGGGCUUAGAGGAGCAGACGUGCAGAGCGGAGCCGCCGUGAUCCCUCCACUCUCCUGGAACCUGGACCCUGACUUCGCUUCUCUUAGUCUGGGCUUCCGAGCGCUCUGUGCUCAAUCGCUCAGCCGUGUCCAACUCUCUGCGACCCUGUGGACUGUAGCCCGCCAGCCUCCUCUGUCUAUGGGAUUUCCCAGGCAAGAAUACUGGAGUGGGCUGCCGUUUCCUCCUCCAGAGGAUCUUCCCGACCCAGGGAUGGAACCCACGUGUCUUGUGUUUCCUGCCUUGGUAGGCAGGUUCUUUACUGCUGAGCCACUGGGGAAGCCCCUCUGCUCCUAAAAGCAGUGAAUCGUUAGGGAUGGGAAACUUUGGAACCUGUCCUGAGCUCUCGUUCUGUCAAACUCCAUGGGGAGGAGCAGGGCGAGGGACACCCUCACCUGUUGAGCGGAGGCUGUGUUCCCUCCCUGCUCGCACCGCAGGGACCAUCUCUUACCUCCCACGAGACUCCUCCAGCCUGACCCUCCCCUGCCAGACAAGAUCACCUGGGUUGGUGCUUUUCUUACACCUUCUGGGUUGUUACCACAAGUGCUCCAAAGCAUUCUCAUCAUUUUUUAAAUUAAAAUCUUAUUUUUAUUAAGGACCAGGUAAAUGAAACAUAGUCAAACAGCAUGAUAACAUUUUUAAAGAAAGGCAGCGACGCCCUGCCCUGCUGAGUGCUGAGAACUGUGCAGCCUUAGAGACGUUUAAGGGUCGAACGAACAGCAUGUGUCUUAUUAGUCAGUGCUGGUCUGCUGGAAGACGGGUCAUGAUUUGGAUCAGGACUUUUUACAUUUGAAUGUGCAUUAAAAAGAAAACACCCAUAGUCCACUCCUGGGCAUAUAUUCAGACAAAACUCCAAUUUGAAAAGACCCAUGCACCCUAGUGCUCAUUGCAGCCCUAUUCACAAUAGGCAAGACAUGCAAAGAACUUAAAUGUCCAUCGAUAGAUGGACAGAUAAAGAAGAUGUAGUAUGUAUGUACAAUGGAAUAUUACUCAGCCAUAAAAAGGAUGGAAUAACUGUAUUUGCAGUGACAUGGAUGCAGCCAGAGAUGAUCAUCCUAAGGGAAAUCAGCCAGACAGAGAAAGACACGUACCAUAUGAUACUGC